CAAUAGCGUAUAUUAAAGUUGUUGCAGUUAAAAAGCUCGUAGUUGGACCUUGGACCUGGACAGGCGGUCCGCCUCACGGCGAGUACUGUCUUGCUGGGUCUUUCCUCUUGGUGAUCUGUUGUUUCGGCAGCAGGGAACCAGGACCUUUACUUUGAAAAAAUUAGAGUGUUCAAAGCAGGCUCGACGCCGGAAUAUAUUAGCAUGGAAUAAUAAAAUAGGACGUGCGGUUCUAUUUUGUUGGUUUUUGGAAUCGCCGUAAUGAUUAAUAGGGACAGUCGGGGGCAUUAGUACUCACAUGCUAGAGGUGAAAUUCUUGGAUUUUGUGAAGACUAACUUCUGCGAANGNAUUUGCNAAGGAUGUUUNCAUUA
rnacentral:rRNA from 1 species